GUGAUGUCUCCAGGCUGCAACCACGAGGCUUGCUUAUAGGCCACGAUGCUGUAAGAAUUUAUAACAGAGAAUUACAGGAGAACAGCUGGAAUGGGGAGGGAGGGUCUCUAGCCAUCUCUCAGAGACUCUGUCCAUAAUACGGAGGGCCCUUUGCAUCUACAUUUUCCCUUUCUCGGAGCCUCUUCCCAUCUCACUUCCGUCUGAUGAUACACUCCCAUGUGGACCCGAAGCUCAGGCUUCACUCAUCCCAAGCAGAAUUAAUUGCAUCCUCUUCUGCCUUUCCAUUGCCCUUUUCUCUCUUCCAUAAAUCAUUAGGUUGUUUAAAAAUAUUGGGAGAUAAAAUGGAGGCCUAGGACUGAAGAGCUGAAGUUGAAGUCUUGAAUCUGUGUGACCUUUGGCGUGUCCUUCAGCCUCUGGUGUUCUCCUUUUCCCAACUGUUUGAGCUCUAGGAACCCCAGGUUCUAAGCUGGAACACAGUUCUUCCUAAUGGAUGGACCACAUCUGGAGCUACUGGGUGGGGGGUGGGCAGAAAUCCAAAUCCUUCUAAGGAAAAGCUUUGUAGAAACUUCCAAACACAGAUUCCCCACCUUCUGUGACCCCAGGGCUCUCCAGGGAGGAGCACUCACUAUUCUUAAAGCUCACUAUAUGACAGAGCUGGCAAGAGGCAAGUAGAGGCAGGCAGCCCAGGACCCCAUGAACUGUUCCAGGCCGACUCCACAGCUCACCCUAGCUGUGGGACCAUGACAGCACAGCCACGUGGUUGGUGAAUUAUUUUAAGGCAGGACAAGAAGGCUUUUCAACAUGAAGAUUCUCUGCCCAUGUUGACUGUUGAUCAACUUUUGUUGAUUAUGGUGGUGGCCAACCCCUGACAUCCUUCCAGCUCAACAAGCAGCUCCUGGGCGGUCACAACAAUGCGCAAGGGCUCCAGGGUCUCCCGGCCUCACCAGCACCCCUAUAUCUAUUCUGGUAGAGCCAUCCGGAGAGGAAUCAGGUGAUACCUCAUUGUGGUUUUGAUUUGCAUUGCCCCGACUAUUAGCGUGUCUUUUCACAUGCAUGUUGGCCGUUUGUAUCUCUUCUUUGGAGAAAUCUCUGUCCAAAGACUUUUUUUUUUUUGGUCUAAGUCAUUAGCACACUUUUGUUUUACGACUGAAUUGUAGGAAUUCUUACACAUUUUGGAGAUUGUCUUCCUUUCAGAUAUGUGGUGUGCACUAUUUUUCUCCCACUCUGUAGAUUGCCUUUUGACUCUGUUGAUUUUUUCUUUUGCUGUGCAGAAGCUUUUUCGCUUGAUGUCGUCCCACUUGUUUAUUUUUAGGUUCUUGAAGAGAGAUUAGCACUCCUGUAGCACUAUUCACAAUAGCUAAGAUAUAGAAGUGACCUAAAUGUGUAUUAAUGGAUGAGUGGGAAAAGAACAUGUGGUAUAUAAAUAUAGCUGAAUGUUUUUUGGCCUUUAAGAAGAAGGUGGUCCAGUGGUUAAGAAUCUGCUUUGCAAUGCAGGGGACGAAGGUUCAAUCCCUGGUCAGAGAACCAAGAUCCCACCUACUGAGGAGCAACUGAGCCUGUGUGUGCGGCAAAAAGAGAGUCUGGGCGCCGCAACAAAGAUCCUGCAUGACCCAGUGAAGAACCUGCAUGCCGCAACUAAAAUCCAAUGCAGCCAAUAAAUAUUUUUUUAAAAAGAAAGAAAUCCUGAGAUUUGUGGAUUCAACAUGGAUCAAACCUGAAGACAUUAUGCUAAGUGAAAUAAGCCAGUUGUAGGAAGACAAAUACUGCAUGAUUUCCCAUAUGAGGUACCUAAAAUCGUCAGAGUGGAAUGGUGGUUGCCAGGGAUGGGGGUGGAGGGAAGAAGAAAUGGGGAAUUACUAAUCAACAAGCAUAAAGUUUCAGUUAAGCUAAAUACAGAAGCUCCAGAGAUCUGCUGAACAAUGUUGUAUUUAUAGUCAGUAACAUUACACACGUAAAGGUUUGUUAAGAGAGGAGCGCUCAUGUUAAGUAUUCUUACCAUAAUUAAAAAAAAAAAACAAAACACCUCGGGAGAAGCUAUGCUUAGCCCUUCCUUCAUACCAAAGACCUCUCAGAGAAGAGUCCUGCUUUGAGCACCUGAAUUAAUGGGCCCAGAGCCAGGACAGGACCCAGGCCAGCAUAGAUCCCAGCCUGGAGGCUUUGGCCUCAAAUCACAGGACUGACAGAGGGGGAGGUCCUGUCAGCCCGGCAUGUCCCUACAAAUGCUAAAACUGGACUCUGGCAGGGGCAGAUUCCACAAAAACAGAGUCACCAGGAUUAUUUGCUUCUGAGUAAAGUCCCCGGGACCCUUUCUCUUUUCUUUGCAGUUCUUCCAUUUCAUGGGCUCACUGCCUUGGACUAAGUGGAGAUGGGUCUCCCUGUCCGCCUUGCUGCCUGUACCACUCCUGCAAAGUGGACCAGGGUGGUGGGUGGUGCAGGGGCCAAGGUGCCCCACAGACAGCAACGCUUCUUCUUCGGGAUCAUCCCCAGGGGUAGAAAGUCAAAACACUCCAGCUUUCUCCCUGUCUGCUUAACCCUGACCCAGCACGGGCAAGCAGGAACCUGAAGUCAUACAAGGGACAAUCAGAUCUGCACGGAGAGUUUAUAAAGUCAAAAGGAUAGCGUGCCUGUGGGAGUAGGGACUAAACUCUAAAUGAUCUCAUGUAGAUGUGCACCCUUCAGACAGUUUUUAGAUGAGCUAUAAUCUUCUCUACCCCUCCCUGUGCUCAGGGCCCUGUGUGCAGGUCUAGUCAGCUCUGCCUUCUACAAAGAGAACGUCCCGCCUCAUCUCCCUAACAAGCCGGGCAGUCCCUCAAAACGCCCACACUGUCCUCUUGCACUCCAUCACGGAGGCCCACCUUGGGAGGUGCUGGUUUCACCCAACCCAUGCCUGGCUUUCCCACUCCAUUCUUAACCCUGUUCUUCCAGAGGCCACAACAAACAAAGCAGUCCGAGCAGCCUAUACCUGUAAUGGGCAGAGGCUCCAGGGGAUGGAUAGCUUGUGGAGGAAGAUGGUAUUCACCCAUCAGAUAUGGCCGCCAGAACAACAGCUUGGACCAGAUGGAUCACUUUAGCGAUUUAAUCAAGAGGUCUGUCUUUUCUUGGGGCCACAGUGCCUAGAAGACAGCCCUAGAGGUCUGGGAGGGUCCAUAGGGUCUCACUUUUUCCCAUACUUUGUGAAACCAGGGAAAUUUGAGGGGCCUCUGAGAGAUUCAUGCCCAGUCCAGGACACAUUUAGUGGUAGCUGUGUCAUCAUGGUGCUAGCCAGACCUGGGACCUGAAUUCUCUGGCCCAGAAAUGAACUAUUAUCAGGGCAAUUGGCACCUCUCCCAGUUUAGGCUACUGAGGUUUGCAUUGUAUUUUUCAUGAUAUCCCACUCCUCUCUCCAUCUCUGAAGCAGGCUCUAGCUAAGUGAAUGCCUGGCUGUCCUGUGUAGUCUAGGCUACCAGCAAGUAUAGCCCUUAAGCCAAGUUGAGGCCUGACCCUGCCACUUUAGUCUCUAGCACAAGUCUGGCUUUAUUCAACUGCAAAGGUUAAAUUCUCACUUUUUUGCAUUGAUAAAGUCACACUGUUUGAGGAGAAAGGGACAUGUAAAAAGGAGCAGCAACAUUUACUGAGCCUGUAUUAUGUACUAAGCAAUUUACAGGGGCUUCCCCAGUGGCUCAGCAGCAAAGAAUCCAUCUGCCAAUGCAAGAGACAAAAGAGAUGUGAGUUCGAUCCCUGGGUUGGGAAGAUCGCCUGGAGUAG